rnacentral:snoRNA from 14 species
AGGCAGGUGCAGUUACAAUGUAACGGAAACCUUUCAAUGCUUAAAGCAUUAAAUACAUCACCAUCUCUGCCGGGCUCUACCACAGAAAGGCAGAGACACUUGGUUUCUAACAU